UACAGAGGUCCCGAGCGUUGUUCGGAUUCAUUGGGCGUAAAGCGCACGUAGGCGGUCUGUCAUGUCGGAUGUGAAAGCCCUUGGCUUAACUGAGGAAGUGCAUCCGAAACUGGCAGGCUAGAGUACUAAAGAGGGUCGCGGAAUUCCCGGUGUAGAGGUGAAAUUCGUAGAUAUCGGGAGGAACACCGGUGGCGAAGGCGGCGACCUGGGUAGAUACUGACGCUGAGGUGCGAAAGCCAGGGGAGCAAACGGG
rnacentral:rRNA from 1 species